rnacentral:rRNA from 1 species
UACGUAGGGGGCAAGCGUUGUCCGGAUUUAUUGGGCGUAAAGAGCGUGUAGGCGGCCAGGUAGGUCAGCUGUGAAAACUCGAGGCUCAACCUCGAGACGUCGGUUGAAACCACCUGGCUAGAGUCCGGAAGAGGAGAGUGGAAUUCCUGGUGUAGCGGUGAAAUGCGUAGAUAUCUGGAGGAACACCGGUGGCGAAGGCGGCAUCCUGGACCGGCAUUGACGCUGAGGCGCGAAAGCCAGGGGAGCAAACGGG